CAUAUUGAUUUAUAGCGAAAUUUAUGUAUUUAAACUGUUUCUCAGAGCAAUAUUUUCUUUCACUCAGGAUGCGGAGCAGACAGAGAAGUUGGUUUUAUCAAAGAAAACACAGAAAGUAAGUGUUUUACUUCAUUUACUUGUAAUAUUACUUCAUGAUGAUAUUAAUAUGCUGUGUGCACCUAAACAUUUCUCAUAGAUCUGAAUUGCUAUGCAGUGCUGAGGUGGAGGUAAUUUUUAACAGGGAAACACUAGGAAUAUUAAUUUCUAUGCAGUGCUGACGUGAAGGUCGCUAUAACAGUUUCUACAAUAUUUAAGAUGCUGUGAUGAUGAUACAUCCCGGAACCACUUCUGGCCAAAUUGGUUUCCAACAUAAGGGUGGAAUCAGACCUGGAUAACGCCCAACAUCUGGAACAGACAGACAGACACACACACACACACAAAAGAAAAAUAUUUUA